CCGGGACUUGCAGAGGACGACGGAUAUCAGAACUAGUCCACUCGUCGCAAGCUUCGGAGAAGAAUCGAAAGAACGCGAGGAGACAGAACAAAAAUAUCCUCCAGGACAUCGCCAACAUGAAGAACAGCCUCACGAAGACAUCGGACACGAAGUGCACGAACGUGUAAGUGUCGGACGACGGGAGCAAGUACAGCGACGCGCACGUGUCGAGCGACACGCAGGACAAGUGCGUGUGUGACGACCUGGUGUUCCUCGAAGACCCAAACGACCCUAGAGGCUGUAUAUACUUUCAGGCAUCCGUGCAUGUCCUGAGACACUCCACGGCCAUCUACCCAGGGUUCCAGUGCUCUGUGCAUGUCGGGAACGUGCGUCAGACGGCCAUUAUCGAGGGUAUAAUGUCUCCGAACAACGUGCUGAGGGCGGGUGAGGGG